UGGGGAAUUUUGGACAAUGGGGGAAACCCUGAUCCAGCCAUCCCGCGUGUGCGAUGAAGGCCUUCGGGUUGUAAAGCACUUUUUGCAGGAAAGAAACGUCAUGGGUUAAUACCCCGUGAAACUGACGGUAUCUGCAGAAUAAGCACCGGCUAACUACGUGCCAGCAGCCGCGGUAAUACGUAGGGUGCAAGCGUUAAUCGGAAUUACUGGGCGUAAAGCGUGCGCAGGCGGUUCGGAAAGAAAGAUGUGAAAUCCCAGAGCUCAACUUUGGAACUGCAUUUUUAACUACCGGGCUAGAGUGUGUCAGAGGGAGGUGGAAUUCCGCGUGUAGCAGUGAAAUGCGUAGAUAUGCGGAGGAACACCGAUGGCGAAGGCAGCCUCCUGGGAUAACACUGACGAUCAUGCACGAAAGCGUGGGGAGCAAACAGG
rnacentral:rRNA from 1 species